rnacentral:tRNA from 1 species
GCUGUGGUGUCCGAGUGGUUAAGGAGUUUGACUCGAAAUCAAAUGGGCUAUGCCCGCACAGGUUCGAAUCCUGUCCGCAGCG